UACGAAGGGGGCUAGCGUUGCUCGGAAUCACUGGGCGUAAAGGGUGCGUAGGCGGGUCUUUAAGUCAGGGGUGAAAUCCUGGAGCUCAACUCCAGAACUGCCUUCGAUACUGGCGAUCUCGAGUUCGGGAGAGGUGAGUGGAACUGCGAGUGUAGAGGUGAAAUUCGUAGAUAUUCGCAAGAACACCAAGUGGCGAAGGCGGCUCACUGGCCCGAUACUGACGCUGAGGUGACGAAAGGCGUGGGGAGCAAACAGG
rnacentral:rRNA from 1 species